rnacentral:lncRNA from 1 species
GAGCUGUGGCGAGUUCUCCAGCAAGAGCUGCAGCUCUGGAGUAAUGGCAUCCCCGAGGCUCCCUAGGACCGCGCAGUCGCCUGGAGGCAGCCCUCCGGAAGGGGCCGCCCCUGAGCCGGCAGAGCUGGGCCGGGAGACCUGGGAGAGCCCAAGUGGCGGACCGUGCUAGGCGGGGGUCGGCUGGGAGGGACCGGUGACUGCCGGGGGUCCCGGCAGAGCGCAGAAAAGCAGAGGAAAUACACUCGGAUCCAAGUGCCCCUGGCCCUCAUGACCCAACCCCUGGAAAAGCAUCUGAGUUACCCGACAUCCUGGUCAGCAGGAGCUGGGCUGGAGACUGGAUGCUGCAGCUUCAGAGACUCAGCACCUAGGAAGGCUCCUGUGCAGGGAGAAAGGCAGAGAUGCGACAUUUUUAAAGUUUCACAAAACACGAGGCAGCACCCAGGUCCCUGGAUCAGGAGACACACAGAAUUAAUGUUUUAUACCUUCGGGUAUAGGUUUGAGUUUUUUCCCCCUCAUGCCAAGUAUUUAAAACCUCUAGAAACCCAUGAUUUGACAAUCAAUGAUUGCGCGAUACUUUCAAUUUGAAUAUUCAAAGGCUUAACAAAAUGGACUAUCUUCUGCAGAAAUCCUGCACACAGGCACCUCACAGAGAGUCCAGAGAAACAGAGAGUGAGAUCCCUUUGGGUCCUGACCCUUGCUUUUCUCCUAUUUUAAACAUUUUGUCCACCUGCCCACAGGCAGAGCAGGUGUCCUCAAAGAUGCUCUAUGUUAGUGCCUCAAAGGCUGCCCAGAAGCCCCCACUGACCCAGGCUGUUCCCUGUGGACCACCUGAACCAGGUUGGACAGCCACAAUGAAUCUCUCUUGUCCACUCUCCAUUUUAAGGGGAAAUGGCAGGUUUUGGGGAAUGAACAUGGCAGACAGAGGGUGUGGCACAGCAAAGAGCCACUUUGGGCCCAGGCUGCAGGUCAGAGGACAGCAGAGGCCGAAACUUUGUGCUUUGUAUCCCUUUGGCCCUGCCUGGCCACAAGGCUUGCCGGUCCAAUCUGCAUCCUCCCUCCUGCUAGGUCACAGACACUGGGCUUCCAGCAAGCAGUCCUUGCACAUCAGCGCUCUCUUUGCUCUUUGGAGCUGUAGACCAACACAGCUGCCCUUGACCCAUCUGAGAUUCCUUUAGGCCAGGUUUCCACUGCUGCAUUGUGGCAAUCCGUAUUCCUAUGUUUUGGUUUGUUUUUAAUUCCUCGAACCCCAGCCUUUUUACCUCAUAGAACUCCUGCUUCCUUUAGAGGAAGGCCAUGGUUUUUUCUUUCUUUCUUUCUUUCGAAGGCUCUGAGGAGAGAGGUAGGAGGGGUUUGGAACCAACCUGUCUUCUUGGACCCCUCAUGAAUAUGAGUAACCCGGGCCCAUGCUGAUGUGUAUUUUGGAAGCUCUGCCUGAGAUGCUCUCUGUCCUAUGAUUUGAAGGAUGAAGAGACUGGAGUGAUAUGGAAUGUCAGGUCAAGACGUCACAGGGGACAGAAGGGUCCCCUUUGCAAAUAACUAGGAAGUUUUCAGGAAUGCAGAUAAAGUGAUGGCAUAGGCCUCUCUUUUUUAAUCCCUGAGUUGUCUGAAGCGCAAACAAAAUAAAAAAUAAACCAAACAAACAAAAUCCAAAAAAACCCCCCACCAAGCUUUAGAUUAAAAAAAUCUUUAGAAAAAAUAUCUGAAAACUUAAAAAUAUAUCAGACAUAAUAUAUUAGAUAUAGAGUAUCUAACAAACAUCUCAGCUAAAGGGUCUCUGGGGGUGAUACAAGCAUUCAGGGUAGACCUGUCUGCUAGGCAGGUGGAGCCACACAUAUCUGGAAAAGGGUCAGGGCUGGGGACACUUGAAGUAGCAUCUGGCGGUGGAGAAGUAGGGUGAGAUGUGGUUGUAUUUGGUCCAGCUGGUGUUUAUCAGCCACUGGACCCUACUUUUGCAAAAUCAGGCCUGAGGACCAGACCAGAGAAAGGACCAGGGGAUCUGAGAGAAACCCUCUCCCUGGGACCCCAUCCUUCCUUCCUCUAGUCAAUGUUUUCCCUUGCUGCUGUCCUCCUUUCUGUCUUGCUUUUAAGAUCUCCUCGUUGUCCUUUGGCUGUUUUGUUUAUUCUGCCCCCCCCCCAUUUUCUGUCCCUUGUUUUUUUCCCUGUUGAUACUUUUUUUUUUUCAUUUCUUGUCUCUCUUUUCUCUCUGACUCUAUACAUGCCUCUCUUUCCCCUCGUGCUCUCAUUCUUUUACACUAAAUAUUUUUCUUCAGCUCCCCUUUCACACAGGAUUGAGCAGAGGUGCCCUAAGGUCACAGUUUUCCCUUGACAAUAUCAAGAACAGUAGUGUUGGUGACUGAGUUCUCCAGAGAGAACACAGACUGGAAGACAGGCUCUUUAGAAGCCUGGUGUCUAUAGGGAUAAGAACGAAGACAUCUGCAUCUUUUCUCCCAGAAGUCUUUGCCUGAGCCAUAGCGAACAUCCUGGGGCAUCUGUGUGCUGGUGCAGUUCCUGAGGUUCAGAGUCUGAUGAUGUUACUGACAAAUAACUUCAGAAAACUAUUUCCACAGGCCCACUUUGAGAAUCUUCCCUGUGCUAUCUAUAUUGCAGGUCAGCUCAACAUUCAGGAGUUUUGAUUCUUGUUCUUGUAACUGAAAAGCCUCAGCACAGACAUUUCAGAGCCAAAGCCCUGCUUCAGGGGGCUGGAGACAAUGCUUUUUCAGUAGAUCCUCUUUGCAUCUCUCUCUCCUUUCCCCCUCUCUCUGUCUUUCUGUUUCUGUGUGGUGUGCAUGUGUGUGUGUCUGUGUGUCUGUGUGAUGAUGAUAUCUAAAGCAACCAGGUAUUUUUACCUUGAGAUUCCAAAUGCCGUUAGAAGUUGGUACCCUGCUUCAGUUGCUUGCUCGCUCUCAUGCUUGCCCAUCCAUCCAUCCAUCCAUCCAUCCAUCCAUCAAUCCAUCCAUCCAUCCCAGUGUUGAGAUAGAAUCUAGAGCAUGCUGGGUAAGCACUCUACAGCAGAACAACAUCCCUAGCUCAGAAGAUUAUUUAAAGUUCUCAUCUCUUGCUCCUGGGUACCAGGCCUGUAUUAUUGCAUAGCAAAUGACAGACCUGGUGUUCAGACUUUUGUAAGUAUCACCCCAAAGUCUUUGCUGUCUUAUCAGCAUGUCCCAGGGGCUUCUAGAAACCUGGAGCUCUGAAGAAGCAACUGGCUAGUGGUGAGGACAAGCUGGUCAUUAUGCUGACUGUAGUUUGGGUUAUCCAACCAGAACCCUCUUCCUGGGGGCUGAAUGCUUCUAGGAUGCCUCCCUGAAGUUCCAACAGUCCCUCUGAGGUUGUAAAAAAUUGGGGGGUCUGGUCUUCUGCCACAAGCCCCUUCACUUAUAACACUAUCUUGAUGUUGGGUGUGGGAGAGGAUAUUGACAUGCUGAGAGGGAGUGGCAUCAUGACCUGUGGCUUUCUAGCUUGUAGCUCCAUUGUUGGCACAUAUAAAAUCUGUGUGGAGGAGAUGGGUCUCGCUGUUUGUAAGGCAGAUUUUGCCUUUAAAUGAGUGAUAAUCCAUCGAGAUGUUCUUUCCUUGAGCAUCAGGUGUGUAUCAGGCACAGUAACGAGUACCAGGAGUACAAAGAUCAGUAAGCCUUGGUUUCUGCCAGCAAUGGCUCUGUUCUCCCACGUGCUCACUGCUUUCCUAUUGUAGGUUAAUUUGCAAAUCCAUUCAUUCAUUCACCAUUUAUUCAACCACCUUAUGUUAAUUGCUCCAACUGGUCCAGUUCUUGCUUUCCACCCAAGCCUUUUCCCCUGAAAGCCUCUCUGUCCAGUUUUCCCCAUCCUUCCUAAAUCAGCUUUUCAAAUCUCUGCUUUUCCAUACCACAAACUCAGAAAUCCUUCAGUCUGUCAACUGUUCAUCAAUCAUAAAGUCAGCAGCACCUGGGGGGAGCAGAAUGGGCAUUGUUAAUGUGUAAAGUUGAACGUUUUUAAUUGGAAAAAAUAUCGAUGGUCUUCUGCAUGCAAAUGACCUUGCACAGCAUUGUGCUUUCCCCUCUCAAGCAGGUUUUAUUAAACGUAGACGUGCAUAUUAAAAGACCUUCAGUAUGAGGAAAGGGUGUCAUUAUUCCUUCUGAAUUUGACUAUAGCCCUAAAUUUUCUUUAGUAAUGCAAAAUUCUUUUGUCACCUCAAUGUUGGGACACUGUUACCGAAUGUUGUGGGAAAUAUCAAGUUCCAAAAUGUUGAAUGCAUAGAAGAAACAAGUAUUUAUGGGUCCUUAGGAAGCAAGUUUGAUCCAUGUGAACCAUGUGACCAAGGAGACUAGGAGAUGGAGGUUGUGUAAUAAUAAUGCAGCCAUAGUCAGUUUCUCCACAUACUAUAUAUUCAGAAUUUAGACUUUCCUCUAAGAGAAGCUUAUGAUGAGCCAACCUUUGAUCAUUUAUUAUUUAUACAAGAAAAGUACCGUAUCACACUGCUUGCAAAGUUACUGUUUUAGUUAAAACAUUUUUUUAUUGCACCAUAGUUCUAACACAAAAGUGUGUAGAGAAUGCCAUCAGGCAAAGCUGUGAAUAUUUCACCAAAGCUGGGAAAUAAAAUAGCUGAGCAAGCACACUUUUGCAUUCUACUUUCUAAGCAUUGGACCUUCUGGAUCCUUCCACUUAAGAUAUCUGACUAGUGGAACAGUUCUGUUAUUUUUCUUACUGGAGAAGAGUUGAAAUCUUGGUAUUAUUUGUUAGGACUACAGUUUCUCCUUUUGGAACAUGCAACUUUUUCCCUGUUCUUUUUUUUUGUAAUCUAUUGACAAUGCAUUUUGCAAACCUCUAUGUCUUAUCUGGUCUGAAGUUGUCGUUAAAAGAUAUUUAUGUAUCACAUAUCUAAUAAAGCAUGAUACCAAUGUUUG